UACGUAGGGUGCAAGCGUUAAUCGGAAUUACUGGGCGUAAAGCGUGCGCAGGCGGUUAUGUAAGACAGUUGUGAAAUCCCCGGGCUCAACCUGGGAAUUGCAUCUGUGACUGCAUAGCUAGAGUACGGUAGAGGGGGAUGGAAUUCCGCGUGUAGCAGUGAAAUGCGUAGAUAUGCGGAGGAACACCGAUGGCGAAGGCAAUCCCCCUGGGCCUGCACUGACGCUCAUGCACGAAAGCGUGGGGAGCAAACAGG
rnacentral:rRNA from 1 species